rnacentral:rRNA from 1 species
GGGGUGAUAUUAAAAUAUAAUUAACUUUUAAUAAAAAUUUCAUAAAUUUAUGUUAAUAUUGAUCCAAAUUUUUGAUUAUAAGAAUAACUUACCUUACGGAUAACAGCGUAAUUAAUUUGAAGAGUUCAUAUCGAUAAAUAUGAUUGCGACCUCUAUGUUGGAUUAAGAAUAGGGAUUGGAGCAAAAUUUAUUAUUUCUGGGUCUGUUCGACCCUUAAUAUUCUUACAUGAUCUGAGUUCAAACCGGCGUGAGCCAGGUUGGUUUCUAUCUACUUAAUUAUUUUUAAUGUUAGUACGAAAGGACCUCAUUAAAUAAUUUUAUUAU